rnacentral:misc_RNA from 1 species
UGUGGGAGCGAGCUUGCUCGCGAUGGGGUCGCUAAAUUCAGCAUCCAUGGCGACUGAUCCACCGCUAUCGCGAGCAAGCUCGCUCCCACA